CAAUAGCGUAUAUUAAAGUUGUUGCGGUUAAAAAGCUCGUAGUUGGAUUUCUGCUGAGAACGACCGGUCCGCCCUUUGGGUGUGUAUCUGGCUCUUUCUUGGCAUCUUCUUGGUGAACGUUGCUGCACUUGACUGUGUGGAGCGCUACCCAGGACUUUUACUUUGAGGAAAUUAGAGUGUUUCAAGCAGGCAUACGCCUUGAAUACAUUAGCAUGGAAUAAUAAGAUAGGACCUAGUUACUAUUUUGUUGGUUUGCAUAGCUGGGUAAUGAUGAAUAGGAACAGUCGGAGGUAUUCGUAUUUAAUUGUCAGAGGUGAAAUUCUUGGAUUUCUGAAAGACGAACCACUGCGAAAGCAUUUACCAAGGAUGUUUUCAUUAA
rnacentral:rRNA from 1 species